rnacentral:rRNA from 1 species
CCGUGAGGGAAAGUUGAAAAGAACUUUGAAGAGAGAGUUCAAGAGUACGUGAAACCGUUCAGGGGUAAACCUGAGAAACCCGAAAGGUCGAACGGGGAGAUUCAGACGCGUCUCGGACAAUCGCGGCGAGUCGGCGACGAGUGACAGUUGGCGUUUAUGCGUCGACCGCGCCGUUGCCGUUCCGUCCGCGGCCGAACGCGUGCACUUCUCCCCCUGUAGGACGUCGCGACCCGUUGGGCGCCGGUCUAAGGCAUGCGGAGGAGCCCGCGCGAGUUUCGUACCCGCGCGGACCCGCGUUGCCCGGCCGGAGACACACCGACGGUAUACUAAAGAGGCGUUGGGCCGCGACAUAUGUUCGCGUCCGGCCGGUCGCAAGUGCGAACGGAUAAUCUGGCAUCCGGACCUAGUGCCGGAUCCGGACCCGUUCGGCUGCUGGUGAUCGUGUUCUCGGACAGACCCCGUACACGCCGGUCUGCGGCGCUAUAGUUUUGGGUACUUUCAGGACCCGUCUUGAAACACG